rnacentral:lncRNA from 1 species
UUUUGUGUCUUUAUACUAGAUUUGCAAUCACUGUUGGUCAUCCAGGUGGAGUUAUCAAGGAGGCAGUUCAAAGUAUGGGUGCACGGAGAUCUAAUUUGGAGAUACAAUAGAGAUGGACAUAUACGCAUGAAUACGGGAAAAUGAGAAUAAAACUGAACAGCGGGUUUGAAGGCAUAUCACAUCUUGUGAGGAGUUGGGCAGAUGUUAAAAGUCCUCAUAGAGCAUGCAUGAAUCACCUGACAUAA